AGGACACUCGCGUGCGCGCGUCGAACGGUUUCUGUUUCUGGCUUUGUAUUCGGAUGAAAAGUGUGUGUGGAAAAGUGUGUGAAGAGUCUGACGGCGAAACGCAACAACAAUCGUUGAGACAGGACCUUUAGUAUUAUUUGCUAUAUAUUUGCUUUAUGGCUAAAAUGUAAUAUCCAAAAAAGUGAGCGGGAAAGUAUGCGAAAUAACUGAAUAAGCCGAAAUCAUUAACAAAUUAAAACGAGACACGCAAAGAGGGCAGGAAAAUAUACCUACCCAUAGUAAAUAUCGAAAGGAGUCAAGUGUUUUUUUGGAGGAGCUGUUUGCUGGCAUGCUUUGAGGUUAAUACCACCCACCCAUCAACCAACCAUCACCACCUCCUUCUCCUCUUCCUCCUCCUCCUCCUCCUCCUCCUCCUCCUCUUCAUCUCCGUUUUGGCCAAUUUCUCCGUCUGCUUUCGCCGCUUUCUUUCUGCCGUCACCAUCAGAAGGCAUCGAAGCAAUGGUUGCCUCAUUAGCGACUUAGCAGAAUGGCGUAAAGGAAACCGUAACCAAAAACCACCAA